rnacentral:rRNA from 1 species
UACGGGGGGAGCAAGCGUUGUUCGGAUUUACUGGGCGUAAAGGGCGCGUAGGCGGCGCAACAAGUCACUUGUGAAAUCAUCCGGGCUUAACCCGGGAGCGGCCCAAGUGAUACUGUCGUGACUAGAGUCCGGAAGAGGAGAGUGGAAUUCCUGGUGUAGCGGUGAAAUGCGCAGAUAAUCAGGAAGAACACCAAUGGCGAAACAGCUCUCUGGGACGGUACUGACGCUGAGACGCGAAAGCGUGGGAGCGAACGGGA